GCUUAGGACCGGAAGUGCUAGUUUUAGAACGUUCGUCGGUCGCAACAGUGACAUUGGUCCCGUGGGUUACCUACGUUGGUUUUCAAGCAUUGCAUGCUAUAUCAGGUCGAACUUCAGUCAUCCAUAGUUGGAAUUUACAGUUGACAAUGAACAUCAGCCUGUUGCACCAAAUUCAAGCUACACGGCACAGUGCGUUUGACGACAGCCCACUUGAUGACGACCUAGAUCGCUGUGUACGUCAGGAAGUACUGGGUAGAAGGUGACCGGAGUCGUCAGAUGGGGAAUCAUCACAACACCGUGGGGCCCAGAACAAGCCACGUCGAGAGCUGGCACGGUA